rnacentral:tRNA from 1 species
GGGGGUAUAGCUCAGUGAUAGAGCACGUGCUUAGCACACACAAGGUUCUGGGUUUAACCCCUAGUAGCUCCU